CUACGUAGGUGACAAGCGUUAUCCGGAUUUACUGGGCGUAAAGGGCGUGUAGGCGGUCUUGCAAGUCAGAAGUGAAAUUCCUGAGCUCAACUCGGGCGCUGCUUCUGAAACUGCAGGACUUGAGUGCUGGAGGGGAUAGCGGAAUUCCUAGUGGAGCGGUAAAAUGCGCAGAUAUUAGGAAGAACACCGGUGGCGAAGGCGGCUAUCUGGACAGUAACUGACGCUGAGGCGCGAAAGCGUGGGGAGCAAACAGGAUUAGAUACCCUGGUAGUCCACGCUGUAAACGAUGAAUACUAGGUGUAGGGGGUAUCGACUCCCUCUGUGCCGCAGUUAACACAAUAAGUAUUCCGCCUGGGGAGUACGGCCGCAAGGUUGAAACUCAAAUGAAUUGACGGGG
rnacentral:rRNA from 1 species